CGGGGUGUAGCGCAGCCUGGUAGCGCAUCUGGUUUGGGACCAGAGGGUCGUAGGUUCGAAUCCUAUCGCCCCGACCA
rnacentral:tRNA from 16 species